rnacentral:lncRNA from 1 species
CUCACUACUCUCAGCCUGACCGACUGCACCUGCUUCUAGGAGUCACUGGGCAUCAUUAAGAUAGUGAAAUAGUGUGUUGGAAUCAAUAGUACGCUGUUCACCAGAAUAUAGCCUGCCUGGAACUGAAACAGGGGGUGGAGGGAUGAGCAACAGAGUCCAGCGAAAGAAUGGGGAGAGAGAAGGAGCUAUAAUGGAUCCUGGUUCACAGAGAGAGGGAUAAAGAGAACAGUGUUUUUCCUGAAAGACUGAUUUGAAUUAUUGAAUAGCAUCCAUUAAAGGAAGUCAAUAGAACAAAAUGACGACUCUGGGCUGAGAGAGGCUGAGCAGGGGGGACGUGGUGCUGAAAUAGACAACAACACCUACCAGCUGACCUUCAGCCAGGUUUUCCUGACAUAUGGCUGGGACUGUAAUCGUGUACAUAUGCCAGUGAUGAGCGAUUUCUCGGUGGCAUGCAAAACACACACUGCGUGGAAUCACAGGGCCACGCUCAUUAACACGGAGACCGAACAGGGUGCCAGCUCAUCCCUGCAUGCUGUCACUCUCCUGUCAGCAUGACACCUCAAUCACAUCUUGCUGUGUCCCCUCUCCCUCAAUCCCUCAUCCCUCCCUACCCCCC